UACGUAGGGGGGCGAGCGUUUGUCCGGAAUCAUUGGGCGUAAAGAGCUCGUAGGCGGUUCAGUAAGUCAGGUGUGAAAGCUCCGAGCUCAACUCGGAGAGGCCACCUGAUACUGCUGUGACUAGAAUCCAGUAGGGGGAGUGUGGAACUCCUGGUGUAGCGGUGAAAUGCGCAGAUAUCAGGAAGAACACCAGCGGCGAAGGCGGCACUCUGGGCUGGAAUUGACGCUGAGGAGCGAAAGUGUGGGUAGCAAACAGG
rnacentral:rRNA from 1 species